AUUGAACGCUAGCGGGAUGCUUUACACAUGCAAGUCGAACGAGUGGCGGACGGGUGAGUAAUAUAUCGGAACGUGCCCCGUAGCGGGGGAUAACUACUCGAAAGAGUGGCUAAUCCCGCAUACUAUUGGAGCGGCCGCUAUCGGAUUAGCUAGUUGGUGGGGUAAAGGCUGACCACGGCUACGCGCCGGAGCUGGUGUGCGAGGACGACCAGCCACACUGGGACGGAGACACGGCCCAGACUCCGACGGGAGGCAGCAGUGGGGAAUUUUGGACAAUGGGGGAAACCCUGAUGCAGCCAUCCCGCGUGUAUGAGAAGGCCUUCGGGUUGUAAAGUACUUUUGGCAGAGAAGCGGUAUCUGCAGAAUAAGCACCGGCUAACUACGUGCCAGCAGCCGCGGUAAUUC
rnacentral:rRNA from 1 species